ACACUGAAUGGCCAUUGACUUCUUUUCAGAGGAAAAAAGAAAAGUGGCAAAUCUUUCACUACCUUUUUCAUAAGAACUUUCUUUUUGGAACUUGUAUUUCUGAUUCAUGGUUUUUGAGGUGACGUGACUACCCCUAUUUCAGCCUUUGUGGUUCAUCUCUCUUACCAGGGGGUGCUUCCUUUAGGCUAUGAAUAGAAAGUUGGUUGAAAAAAACAAGCAAACAUUUGCUGGGUCCCAAACCUGCACAAACCAACUUCUGAGUUUUUUUCUUUUAAUGAGAAGAUGAGUGGAGGAGUGAGGAUGCUCCCCGAGGAUGCACCCACGUGGAAGCCUCAGGAAUACUGUUCCUUUCCCAUCAAGAGCCCAGUGCAGAAGCUGAGCAUAUUCCACCAGUGAAAGAGACAGAGUGUGGUGCUAACGGUGGAGGUAAUCAAAAAGAGGUGGCAAGAGAAAACAAUCAAAGAACCCAAUCCAUUUUUCUCUCUCCGGGUAAUCCAUUGAAG